rnacentral:rRNA from 1 species
UAGUGCAUUAAAUCAGUUAUCGUUUAUUUGAUAGUACCUUACUACUUGGAUACCUGUGGUAAUUCUAGAGCUAAUACAUGCUAAAAACCUCGACUUCGGAAGGGGUGUAUUUAUUAGAUAAAAAACCAAUGCCCUUCGGGGCUCCUUGGUGAUUCAUAAUAACUUAACGAAUCGCAUGGCCUUGAGCCGGCGAUGGUUCAUUCAAAUUUCUGCCCUAUCAACUUUCGAUGGUAGUAUAGUGGACUACCAUGGUUUCUACGGGUAACGGGGAAUUAGGGUUCUAUUCCGGAGAGGGAGCCUGAGAAACGGCUACCACAUCCAAGGAAGGCAGCAGGCGCGCAAAUUACCCAAUGGCGACACGGGGAGGUAGUGACAAUAAAUACUGAUCCAGGGCUCUAAAGGGUCUUGGAAUUGGAAUGAGUACAAUUUAAAUCCCUUAACGAGGAACAAUUGGAGGGCAAGUCUGGUGGACACUUGAGUGUUCCAGUAGGUCAAGAUAUGUAUUAUCGGGGUGCUGACGCCAGUUAUAGAUUGAUCUCUGGGCCGUUCAAGGCCUUCGAGAUUGGUUUAGUAGGGGUCUAUCCUCUGCGAGGUACUUGGUACGGGGAAGGGUCUCCUAGAGGCUUCAUCCCGUGGCUCAAGGCUUUCGAGCCUUGGGCCUUAACGCGCGCCAAGGUACCGGUCGACCUCCUUGGAGGUUGAUUUGAGGUACGUGCUAAUCCCGCCUGUUAUGGGUGUGAUGUGCUUUAUCAGAAGGCAUCUUAGGGACAAUUAAUGGCCAGCAGCCGCGGUAAUUCCAGCUCCAAUAGCGUAUAUUAAAGUUGUUGCAGUUAAAAAGCUCGUAGUUGAA